GAUGAAGAACGCAGCGAAAUGCGAUAAGUAAUGUGAAUUGCAGAAUUCAGUGAAUCAUCGAAUCUUUGAACGCACCUUGCGCCCUUUGGCUAUUCUGAAGGGCAUGCCUGUUUGAGUAUCGUGAACACCUCAACUCUCAUGGUCUGCCAUGAUGAGCUUGGACUUUGGGGGUCUUGCUGGCCUACUGUCAGCUCCUCUCAAAUGAAUCAGCUUACCAGUGUUUGGUGGCACCACAGGUGUGAUAACUAUCUACGCUUGUGGUUUUCUGCCAGGUAACCUCCAGUGAUGGAGGUUCGCUGGAGCUCACAAAUGUCUCUCCUCAGCGAGGACAGCUUUUUGAACGUUUGAUCUCAAAUCAGGUAGGACUACCCGCUGAACUUAAGCAUAUCAAUAAGGGAGGA
rnacentral:misc_RNA from 1 species